AUUUUUCAUUUGGCUGAAUUUGCCUAUUGCCUUGCCAUAUAGCUUAUGAAGUGCUUUUACAUGUUUUACAUAAGUCAUUUGAUCCUCACAACCAUCUAAGAUAGGACACUGAUGAAUUUGAGACUGGAAAAGGUGGUGACUUGCCCAAAGUUGCGAUAACUAGUAAGCGACAGAGUAAGGACUGAAGUUUAGGUCUUCCAAUUCCAAACCCCAUGUUCUUCCCACUGGACCAUGCUGUUUUGUGACUUUGUCUUUCCUUACAGGGUCUGAGUGGCAAAAAAAGGAGAAGGGAAAGGGGAAUGAUGAAAGGUGGAAACAAACAAGAAGAAGCGUGGAUAAAUCCAUUUGUUAAACAGUUUUCAAAUAUCAGUUUUUCGAGAGACUCACCAGAGGAAAAUGUACAAAGCAAUAAGAUGGACCUUUCUGGAGGAAUGUUACAAGACAAACGAAUGGAGAUAGAUAAACAUAGCCUAAAUAUUGGUGAUUACAAUCGAACGGUCGGGAAAGGCCCUGGUUCUCGGCCUCAGAUUUCCAAAGAGUCUU
rnacentral:sRNA from 1 species